rnacentral:lncRNA from 1 species
CCGUGAAUUCGUAGCGGUGGUGGGGGAGGCGGGAGGAACGCGAAAUUCGGCACGGGGGAAAAGCCGAGGAGCGACACCUUUCAUUAUCUCAUGCGAGGCACGUGGCUCGGUGCACGACAACUUUCUCGAAGCUGCGUUUUUCAUCUCGAUAAUUAUCUCGGUCCCUCGAGGGUGUCCCAUGUAGAUUACGUCGUGCAAAAAAACGCUCGGGGCAACGUAAACGGUGCUACGACACUGGCGAUGCAAAAACUCAACGCGAUCACGGUUUCGAUAUAUUUAUAUAUAUAUAUGUAAAAAGAGAAAAACGGAGAGGAGCCGUGACCGUGCCGCGAGGCCGCUGUUACUCGGAUGAUUCGACGAGUUUGUUGGCAACGUUGAACUUGAAUUUUCGUCCAAGUUAAAUAGCGAUGAUCCUGCUGACGUUACGUUGAAUUUCGUUUUAAUAAUAUAAGAGAAAGUUUGUUUAAUUAAAUCUUAAUCUGUAUGAGAUGUAAAAGUGAAAGUAUAUGUGUGCGCGUGUGUGUACGUUAUUA